ensembl:lncRNA
GUACAGAUUUCAAUGUGAAAAGUCUUGCACAUCACAUUCAGCAAGAUCCCAUCCCCUCCAUCAGUAUGGAGCCCAUCAAGAAGAAGACCGCGUGGUCCAACUUUCGGGCCAAGACCAAAGCCCAGUUAAGCAACAUAAAGAUGGGCAAGAAGGGUCCCGGGAAGGACAAGAAGACGCAUCUGAAGUAUCGUCGGAGCAUCUCCGUGCCCGACCUCCGAUUUGCGGCCUCACAUCAGCUUUCGUCCCAGCACCCUAUUCUCCAGUCGCCGUGCGAUGACUCCAUGUUCUUUGCUGGUUCCAGCAGCCCUUAUUGCCAAUCCGUGGCCGAGAGCGGCUCAUCCAGCCCGACGUUUUCAGAGCACUCCUCCAUUCCCGACACCCCCUUCUACACCAGGUUGGCCUCGCCGCCCCAUGCCAGCUUUCCCACGGAGAAAGUGGCUGACCCGGACGUCUGUGUCUCUCCAAAGAGAGUGAUGGAGGUCGACUCACAUGCGGGAACUUCCCCGUUUCUGGUGGAGGAGGCGAGUGGUCAGACUGAGAGGGUGGGAGGAGCUCCAUACAGAGUGCAUAGUGCUCCUCUCAUAAGGCCACCUGUACCUGCUGAGAGGCACUUCUUCCAGGCUAACCCAGUGCCAGCUCCUGCAGAAAGACCCGCCGCGCCAAAAGCCAUAUCCGUUUCCUCAGAGAAGAAAACAACUCCAGUGGCCAGGAAGGUCAACGCACCAGACUCACUCUCUCUGCCCUCAGAGAUGUCCUGCGCGAGUACCACAGAGUCGGGCAACAGCUCACCCUCGGAGGAGCAAAUGGAUAUGGAUAACGACCUUAUGGCCAUGAUGGAACCAAUGACGCCCAUGUCCAGAGAGAUGUUCAUCAUAGGGUCUGCAGAGGAUGUACCCAAUACUCCUAAUGAAACCAGUGACUAUGAUACCAACUCCCUGCUAGAGCGAAUAGAGGGAAGUGUAUGUGUAAGUUAUCUUUGGUUAUGAUCCUAUCCACCUUCCUUUCAAAACCUGCUUUCAAUGUUUUGUCAUGGUUAAGAAUGUAAUUAUCCAGGAAGUAUCCAGAAACACCAUCAGAUAGAGAUAUUUUUUCUAACUCCGAUGGAUACUUGCAUUCUCUGGGUCGUUAGGUUUUCCUGGUAGACAGUCAAAUAGAAAUGUGUCAUGCAUGCUAUAGAAGAAACAAUUCAAACUAACACUAGAGAAUCUGACAAGGGAGUCAUUGUCAGUAGAGAGAUGUUGCUCUUCACUGGAAUUCAGUUUUACUGUCGACUAGGCCUCUGUUUUAUUGUUGACUGUCAUUGAAAAACAGCAGCCAAUGUCCUUCCACCUCAUUGAGCUCCUUCCCCUUACCAAUGUUGCAUUUGUGUUUGUUUUGCAGGUCUUGCGCAGGGUAUGUUUGAUUUUCUUAUGGUUAUUAUUGUUAUAUUAACCUUAAGAAAAAUACAUUUAUAAAUCAUUCAAGCAUUAAACUAUGAAGCUUUUGUGGAGAUGUUUGCUUCAUAGCAUAGACACUGUGAGUCGGUGACUGACAGCUCGUGUUUCCCCUUCAGGGCGCAGCUACCAGCCUAGCCAUGACCCAUGUCAUUAUCGUAUACUAUAAUGCAAUAUCUUUUCACCAAUAGGCUUCUAAUGAAACCAGUGACUAUGAUUCCAACCCCCUGCUAGAGCGAGUAGAGGGAAGUGUAUGUGUAAGUUAUCUUUGGUUGUCAUCCUAUUCACCUUCCUUUCAAAACCUGCUUUCAAUGCGUUGUCAUGGUUAAGGUCAUGUGUGACUUAUGUGGUUAGGGUUAUGGCCAAGGUCAGGGGUUAAUUGUGACACAUGACAUUCCCUGGUAUGUGUUUGUGAACCAAACAUGUAGGGUUCAUGAAUUAUCAUUGUUUUUGGCUUUGAUGGUGGGAGAAUCUUUUACAUGUUUUCAUUUAGAAGACACUUCAAGAAGGUUUAUAUCUUUAUAUCGGCAUGUGUGCUGUGUAUCAAACCAGG